GGCCGGGUAGCCAAGUGGUAAGGCAAGGGUCUGCAAAACCCACACACGCGGGUUCGAUUCCCGCUCCGGCCU
rnacentral:tRNA from 1 species